GCUUAACACAUGCAAGUCGAGGGGCAGCAACACUUUCGGGUGGUUGGCGACCGGCGCACGGGUGCGUAACGCGUAUGCAACCUACCUUCAACAGGUGGAUAGCUCCCGGAAACGGGGAUUAAUACACCAUAGAAUUGCGGUAUCGCAUGGUACUGUAAUUAAAGCUGAGGCGGUUGGAGAUGGGCAUGCGUGACAUUAGUUAGUUGGUGGGGUAACGGCCCACCAAGGCGAUGAUGUCUAGGGGUCCUGAGAGGGCAAUCCCCCACACUGGUACUGAGACACGGACCAGACUCCUACGGGAGGCAGCAGUGAGGAAUAUUGGUCAAUGGGCGCAAGCCUGAACCAGCCAUGCCGCGUGCAGGAAGACGGCCCUAUGGGUUGUAAACUGCUUUUCUUCAGGGAUAAUAAUGUUUACGAGAUAGAUGUUUGAAGGUACUGAAGGAAUAAGCACCGGCUAACUCCGUGCCAGCAGCCGCGGUAAUACGGAGGGUGCAAGCGUUAUCCGGAUUUAUUGGGUUUAAAGGGUGCGUAGGCUGUAGCAUAAGUCAGUGGUGAAAUACCGGGGCUCAACUCCGGGGCUGCCAUUGAAACUGUGCUGCUAGGGUUCAGUGGGAGUAGGCGGAAUGUGUUGUGUAGCGGUGAAAUGCAUAGAUAUAACACAGAACACCGAUCGCGAAGGCAGCUUACUAUACAUGGACUGACGCUGAUGCACGAAAGCGUGGGGAGCGAACAGGAUUAGAUACCCUGGUAGUCCACGCCGUAAACGAUGUUCACUCGCUGUUGGCGAUAUACAGUCAGCGGCCAAGCGAAAGUGAUAAGUGAACCACCUGGGGAGUACGAUCGCAAGUUUGAAACUCAAAGGAAUUGACGGGGGCCCGCACAAGCGGUGGAACAUGUGGUUUAAUUCGAUGAUACGCGAGGAACCUUACCUGGGCUUAAAUGUACGAUGCAUUCCGCCGAAAGGCGGAUUUCCUUCGGGACUUUGUACAAGGUGCUGCAUGGUUGUCGUCAGCUCGUGCCGUGAGGUGUCGGGUUAAGUCUCAUAACGAGCGCAACCCCUAUUGUUAGUUACCAGCGCGUGAUGGCGGGGACUCUAGCGAAACUGCCGGUGUAAACCGCGAGGAAGGUGGGGAUGACGUCAAAUCAGCACGGCCCUUAUGUCCAGGGCUACACACGUGUUACAAUGGCCGGUACAGCGGGCAGCGGGGCAGCGAUGCCGAGCGAAUCCCGAAAGCCGGUCCCAGUUCGGAUUGGAGCCUGCAACCCGGCUCCAUGAAGGUGGAAUCGCUAGUAAUCGCGCAUCAGCCAUGGCGCGGUGAUACGUUCCCGGGCCUUGUACACACCGCCCGUCAAGCCAUGGAAGUCUGGGGUGCCUGAAGGCCGUAACC
rnacentral:rRNA from 1 species